rnacentral:rRNA from 1 species
CUCAAGUUGAUAACCACCGGCGUUAAGCGUGAUUAAAGCUUACAUAAGUUAGGGUUAAACCAAUACUUAGUAGUGAUAAGCUUGUUAUUGAGAAAACCAUAAACGAAAGUUACCCUAAUUAUAAUACUUGAAUACACGACAGCUGGGAAGACAAACUAGGAUUAGAUACCCUACUAUGCUCAGCCGUAAACAAUUAAUUUACACCAAUCAGCGCCAGGGAAUUACGAGCCAUGCUUAAAACCCAAAGGACUUGACGGUGUCCCACCCCCCUAGAGGAGCCUGUUCUAUAAUCGAUAAUCCCCGCUAUACCCCACCAUUCCUCGCCUCAGUCUGUAUACCUCCGUCGAAAGCCUACCCUGUGAACGUCCAGUAAGCCCAAUGACCCCCCCCCAACACGUCAGGUCAAGGUGCAGCUCACGGAAUGGAAAGUAAUGGGCUACAAUUUCUAACAUAGAACAAACGAAAGGCCAUGUGAAACCAUAGUCACGAAGGUGGAUCUAGCAGUAAAAAGAAAAUAGAGUGUUCUUUUUAACCCGGCUCUGGGACGCGUACACACCGCCCGUCACCCUCUUCGAUAGCUUUACUUCACGUUUAUAACCCUUUAUCCGCACCUUAGAAGAGGCAAGUCGUAACACGGUAAGUGUACUGGAAAGUGCACUUGGAUUACAA